AAGUGAUGAUGUUGAAGGGCGUGCCAAGAUGCGUUGUUCAACGGAGCUUUCAGGAGGGGUUGCACAGUGAAACCUCAACUUGGCUAAAGCAUUUGCUGAAAGAAAAUGUGCGUA
rnacentral:ncRNA from 1 species